rnacentral:lncRNA from 1 species
GGUUUUCUUGAAGCCAUAUUAGAUCGAAUUGCUACCUGCUUCCAACUUGGUUUCGUCCAAUUCGCUCCAAUCUGAAAUUUUGAGCUUCGCAGCAACAGAACUAACCUGCCUUUUCUUCGUUCUUUUAUCGGUUGCAGUUUGAGCAAUAUUCAUCUCUAAUAUUAUCAUAUAAAAUUUUAAUUCAAUAGUUAACUGCCAC